CACAAGCGGAGGAACAUGUGGUUUAAUUCGAUGACACGCGAGGAACCUUACCCGGGCUUAAAUGUAGAUUGCAUAGAUUAGAGAUAAUCUUUCCCUUCGGGGCUAUUUACAAGGUGCUGCAUGGUUGUCGUCAGCUCGUGCCGUGAGGUGUCGGGUUAAGUCCCAUAACGAGCGCAACCCUUAUCGUUAGUUGCCAUCGGGUCAUGCCGGGAACUCUAGCGGAACUGCCGGUGUAAACCGUGAGGAAGGUGGGGAUGACGUCAAAUCAGCACGGCCCUUAUGUCCGGGGCUACACACGUGUUACAAUGGCCGGUACAGAGGGCAGCUACUUAGCGAUAAGAUGCUAAUCCCAAAAACCGGUCCCAGUUCGGAUUGGAGUCUGCAACCCGACUCCAUGAAGUUGGAUUCGCUAGUAAUCGCGCAUCAGCCAUGGCGCGGUGAAUACGUUCCCGGGCCUUGUACACACCGCCCGUCAAACCAUGGGAGCUGGGGGUGCCUGAAGUCUGUUACCGCAAGGAGCGGCCUAGGGUAAAAUCAGUGACUGGGGUUAAGUCGUAACAAAGUAGCCGUAA
rnacentral:rRNA from 1 species